GGUGAGUAAUAUAUAGAUAACGUGCCUCUUAGUCUGGGAUAGCCAUUGGAAACGAUGAUUAAUACUAGAUACUCCUUCUGAUUCUAAUUUCAGUCGGGAAAGUUUUUCGCUAAGAGAUCGGUCUAUAUCCCAUCAGUUAGUUGGUAAGGUAACGGCUUACCAAGGCAAUGACGGGUAGCGGGUUUGAGAGGAUGAUCCGCCACACUGGUACUGAGACACGGACCAGACUCCUACGGGAGGCAGCAGUGAGGAAUAUUGCACAAUGGAGGAAACUCUGAUGCAGCAACGCCGCGUGGAGGAUGACGCAUUUCGGUGUGUAAACUCCUUUUACGAGUCAAGAAAAUGACGGUAGCUCGUGAAUAAGCACCGGCUAACUCCGUGCCAGCAGCCGCGGUAAUACGGAGGGUGCAAGCGUUACUCGGAAUCACUGGGCGUAAAGGACACGUAGGCGGGAUGCCAAGUCUGAUGUGAAAUCCUAUGGCUUAACCAUAGAACUGCAUUGGAAACUGGUAACCUAGAGUAUGGGAGGGGGAGAUGGAAUUAGUGGUGUAGGGGUAAAAUCCGUAGAUAUCACUAGGAAUACCGAAAGCGAAGGCGAUCUCCUGGAACAAUACUGACGCUAAGGUGUGAAAGCGUGGGGAGCAAACGGGAUUAGAUACCCCGGUAGUCCACGCCCUAAACGAUGAACACUA
rnacentral:rRNA from 1 species